AAAUUGAAGAGUUUGAUCAUGGCUCAGAUUGAACGCUGGCGGCAGGCCUAACACAUGCAAGUCGAACGGUAACAGGAAGCAGCUUGCUGCUUUGCUGACGAGUGGCGGACGGGUGAGUAAUGUCUGGGAAACUGCCUGAUGGAGGGGGAUAACUACUGGAAACGGUGGCACGGUGGC
rnacentral:rRNA from 1 species